AUUGAACGCUGGCGGCAUGCCUUACACAUGCAAGUCGAACGGCAGCACGGGUGCUUGCACCUGGUGGCGAGUGGCGAACGGGUGAGUAAUACAUCGGAACGUACCUUAUCGUGGGGGAUAACGCAGCGAAAGUUGCGCUAAUACCGCACACGCCCUGAGGGGGAAAGCGGGGGGCCGUAAGGCCUCGCGCGAUUAGAGCGGCCGAUGUCUGAUUAGCUUGUUGGUGAGGUAAAAGCUCACCAAGGCGAUGAUCAGUAGCUGGUCUGAGAGGACGAUCAGCCACACUGGGACUGAGACACGGCCCAGACUCCUACGGGAGGCAGCAGUGGGGAAUUUUGGACAAUGGGGGCAACCCUGAUCCAGCAAUGCCGCGUGAGUGAAGAAGGCCUUCGGGUUGUAAAGCUCUUUUGUCAGGGAAGAAACAGCAGCUCUAACACAGUCUGCGAAUGACGGUACCUGAAGAAUAAGCACCGGCUAACUACGUGCCAGCCGCCGCAGUAA
rnacentral:rRNA from 1 species